rnacentral:rRNA from 1 species
AAGAAUACCAGUGGCGAAGGCGGCCUUCUGGACUGUAACUGACGCUGAGGCAUGAAAGCGUGGGGAGCCAACAGGAUUAGAUACCCUGGUAGUACACGCCGUAAACGAUGAAUACUAGGUGUAGGAGGUAUCGACUCCUUCUGUGCCGCAGUUAACACAAUAAGUAUUCCGCCUGGGAAGUACGGUCGCAAGAUUAAAACUCAAAGGAAUUGACGGGGACCCGCACAAGCAGCGGAGCAUGUGGUUUAAUUCGAAGCAACGCGAAGAACCUUACCUAGACUUGACAUCUCCUGAAUUAGUCCGUAAUGGAUGAAGUCCCUUCGGAGACAGGAUGACAGGUGGUGCAUGGUUGUCGUCAGCUCGUGUCGUGAGAUGUUGGGUUAAGUCCCGCAACGAGCGCAACCCUUAUCAUUAGUUGCUAACAUUUAGUUGAGCACUCUAGUGAGACUGCCCGGGUUAACCGGGAGGAAGGUGGGGAUGACGUCAAAUCAUCAUGCCCCUUAUGUCUAGGGCUACACACGUGCUACAAUGGUGGGGACAAAAAGAUGCAAUACCGCAAGGUGGAGCAAAACUCAAAACCCCAUCCCAGUUCGGAUUGUAGGCUGAAACUCGCCUACAUGAAGCCGGAGUUGCUAGUAAUCGCGAAUCAGAAUGUCGCGGUGAAUACGUUCCCGGGUCUUGUACACACCGCCCGUCACACCAUGAGAGUCGGCAACACCCGAAGCCCGUGAGGUAACCUUUUGGAACCAGCGGUCGAAGGUGGGGUUGAUAAUUG